rnacentral:lncRNA from 1 species
CCCCUCCUCUCCGCACGGGCCCUGGUGGAAGGGGCGGAUCGCCGGGAAGAGGCCGCGAGGUCCCGAUUGGGGGCCUCUGGUUGAGUGCGGCGUCCGCGGGGGUCCCCUGCGCCAAGGCUGGGCUUCUGCUCUUCGUCCCAAACUAGCAACGGCCGGAAAUCCUCAGAAAAGAGCCAGGAAGGGUCCGAGGGGCGCCGGGGAGUCAGACAAUUAAAAAUAGGGCUCCCAGGCGGGCAGCCAGGGAGAUCUCGCUGCACAUGUAAAUAAGGGUAAAUAAGCCUGGCCGGGUCCGGGCUGCCAGCCGGGCACCUCUGUGGAGCCAGCCCCCCCGCGCCCCGUUUUGCACACAGCACAAUUUAGAAAAGAGAGAGAGAGAGAGAGAGAGAGAGAGAGAGAGAGAGAGAGAACACAUUUUUUUUUUUUUAAUUAGAGCUUUAUAGCUAUAGAUAGUAAUUGGGUUCAUCCUGGCAAAUCCAUACAUGUAUGGAAUGCCACACAUACUUAAAAAAAAAAACCUUAAAGACAAAAAAGAAACCAUCUAAAUUUCAGAGUAAAUUUUUUUGCCUUUACUCGGAACUAUUCCUUAUUUUUUCAGAACAUCCGUGUGUGUAUGUGUGUGUGCGACUUUUAAUUUGUAGUACUCAGGAAGAAAGUUCCAUUUGGGGGUGGGGACUGGGGUAAAGAUCAUUCUUACAACUUAGAUGUCUUCCUCGACAAGCAGAAGAAUAUCAGGGCCCCCCUUUUAGCCGCUAAACCCGUUUCCGGAUCAUAUUUGAUACCCAGCAGCCAACCCUCC